AUCAGCCUUUCGGGUGCGAUUCUGUGGAGUUUGAGGAGCUUAACACCUUCAUGCUUUGCAUAUUCGUGCUCUUGGGUGUACUUGCUCGUAUGGUUGGUUAACAUCAAUUUUGGUGGUCAUAAAAUGACUGGAGGAAUGUAGCUUCGAUCUCGUAUUGAAGUGUUAUAGCCUUCGGUAGAUGUGAUGACUGAGAUUGAGGAUUGCAACGGAUACCCUUCGGGGCUACCUGUCUGAUCUCUGAUCGUUGCUCUGGUGCCGAAAGCUUGCUUACGGUUGUCAAAGUCGAUGGUCAAUAGGUUAGAAUGGGUUAAAUUCGUUAAGGAUGUUGACGUAAUGGCUUU
rnacentral:rRNA from 1 species